AUGUUUCUCAGUUGGUAGAGUGCUUGCCUAGUAUGCANGAAGCCCUGGGUUUGAUCCCCAGCAU
rnacentral:tRNA from 1 species